UGAAAGCAAAACUGCUGGAAAAGUGUCAUUGGUUGUGUCUGCUUGCAGGACAUCUGAAAUAUAGUUAUCAUUUAAAAGUGUGUUCUCAUCUACUUGUGCAGUUGCCAGAAUUACAUUUUCAUUGAGAGUUUGCUUGGUUGAAAUGUGUUUUUGAAGUUCCGAGUUUAUCUUUUUCCAUAAAAGGAAGAGAGAUGUGUCCUUUGGAUCUCCAGUCCAUUCUGAUGAGCAUCGAAAUGUUUCAAGUUUUUCAGAUUCAAUAUGUUCAUUCAGGAACUGAAUGCCUUGCUCCAGAUAUUUAAUCUUGGUUUCCAUGACAUCUGGUGAAGCCACACCUUGUGGUAUUUUAUUUGGUAGAUUAACUGCCAUCGGAUCCCAAGGAAAUAAGCCACACUUCCUAAAUCCAUUUGAAAGAAUAGACGGAGUUACAGUUUGGUCUAUAAAAAGAAAAGAUUUUCCAAAGUUACUGCAAGAAGUUAAAGUUGGGGCAUCAAUAUGUUUGAUUCUCCACUCAU
rnacentral:lncRNA from 1 species